CCCGGGUAUGCCCCAGUAGCGGCGAGUGAAGCGGCAAGAGCUCAGAUUUGAAAUCGUGUUUCGGCACGAGUUGUAGAGUGUAGGCGGGAGUCUCUGUGGAGCGCGGUGUCCAAGUCCCUUGGAACAGGGUGCCUGAGAGGGUGAGAGCCCCGUAGGGUGCUGCGCGAAGCUUUUGAGGCCCUGCUGACGAGUCGAGUUGUUUGGGAAUGCAGCUCCAAGCGGGUGGUAAAUUCCAUCUAAGGCUAAAUAUUGGCGAGAGACCGAUAGCGAACAAGUACUGUGAAGGAAAGAUGAAAAGCACUUUGAAAAGAGAGUGAAACAGCACGUGAAAUUGUUGAAAGGGAAGGGUAUUGGGCUCGACAUGGGGGGUGCGCACCGCUGUCUCUUGUAGGCGGCGCUCUGGGCGCCCUCUGGGCCAGCAUCGGUUCCUGCUGCGGGAGAAGGGGCUCCGGAAAGUGGCUCUUCGGAGUGUUAUAGCCGGGCCAGAUGCCGCGUGUGGGGACCGAGGACUGCGGCUUCUGUCUCGGAUGCUGGCAUAACGGCGCAAUACCGCCCGUCUUGAACCCCGGACC
rnacentral:rRNA from 1 species